CUCAUGAUAGGGCAGCAGUUCGAUUUUUUCGACAUUACCCAUAUCGCGGGUAAACUUACCCAGGCGAUGUGCGGAAUCAUCGUCGUCAGACCA
rnacentral:tRNA from 1 species